CCAUUUGAUGAGAACAACUAAACAGAUCUCGUAUCACUAAAAAAAUUUUUUUUAUUAUUUUUGUGAUGAUGAUUAAUCGGGGUAGUAAUGGUGUGUGAUAAUCUUCUACUAGGGAAGAAAUGUUUAUCUUUUAGUUGUAAUUGUUAAAUACGUUUAUAGCAAUAUUUACAAUGGGAGCAUUCUUAGAUAAACCGAAGACUGAGAAACACAGUGAGAAGGGUUGUGGAAAUGGCCUGUCCUAUGGCCUCAGUAGCAUGCAGGGAUGGCGGAUAGAAAUGGAAGAUGCUCAUUGUGCUUUGGUUGGUCUUCCACAGGGCUUGAAAGACUGGAGUUUUUUUGCUGUAUUUGAUGGUCAUGCUGGAGCUAGAGUCAGCGUCCACUGUGCUGAAAAUCUACUGGAUACUAUCAUACAGUCUGAAGAAUUUCGCAACAAUACCAAUGCCAACAACUCUAACAACCAAAUUACCAUUGAAGAUGUUGAAAGAGUGAAGAGUGCCAUCAGGGACGGUUUUUUGAAACUUGAUGAGAGGAUGAAGAAAAUUCCUGAAAUUGCUUCUGGGGAGGACAAAAGUGGUUCAACUGCUGUUUGCACACUUAUUUCAUCUACACAUUUCUAUUUUGCCAAUUGUGGAGACUCUCGAGCUGUUCUGUCUCGAAACAAGCGAGCCUUUUUUGUCACUGAAGAUCACAAGCCAAUAAAUCCAGCUGAAAAGGAACGCAUCCAGAAGGCUGGGGGGAGUGUUAUGAUUCAGAGGGUCAAUGGUUCUUUGGCAGUAUCUCGAGCUUUAGGUGACUAUGAAUACAAACAGGUGGAGGGAAAAGGACCAUGUGAGCAACUUGUGUCUCCAGAACCAGAAGUUGAUGUUUUAGAGCGGGACAAUGAACUUGAUGAAUUUCUGGUUUUGGCUUGUGAUGGAGUUUGGGACGUUAUGACUAACGAUGAAAUUUGUGAUCAUAUUAGGUAUAUGAUGCAGGUCACUACCGAUUUGGAAUACAUUUGCAAUUGUGUCAUAGAUGCGUGUUUGUGUAAGGGUAGCAAGGACAAUAUGAGCAUUGUACUUGUUGCAUUACCUGGGGCUCCAAAAUUAUCUGAAGAAAUGAUACAACAAGAUAAAGAAAUUAACUCAUUUUUAGAAGCACAUGUAAAAGAAAUUCUUUCUGGUUCUGAAAAAAUGGAGAUGGGUGAAGUUAUGAGAAUUUUAAAUGAAGAUGAAAAAGUCCGCAAUGCUUUAGUGCUUUUACCUAUAGGAGCCCUAUUUUUUAAGCAUUCAUUUUUGGAAGAAGUGUAUAAUAAAUUAAAGAGCAAUCCAUCAGCAAAAAAAAAGAGGGCAAAUGUUAACAUCAUUUAGAACUUCUGGAGAUGCCUUGUAAAGCAAGAACAGUUGUUCUGUGCAUUUUAUUGUAGAAGAAAAUCAGAAUUCUGCACAAGAUGUAGCAGCUGUUCCACAAAAUUAGACAUUUGAAAUAACAUUAAAUGAUGAGUGAAGCAAUGUUUUUGUAGGCCAAGGAGUGAACAAAACUAAUUGCUACCUGAUUUAACUGCAGAAAUGAGUUUGCUAAUAUCUGAGGUACUGUUCUGUUUAAAGUAUUUAACAUAUUCUGCAUUGUCUCUCAUGCAGUAAUGGAUAUCUUUCCAUUAUCAUCCAGAAAAGGAAAAGCUGUUCCCUUGGAGAAUUUACAUCGCUUCAUAAUAAGCAAAAUUAAGAUUUCUUUUUUUCAAGGUUGAAACUCUGCUUUUAAAAAUUAAGGUGUGAAGUCGUUCUUAUUACUCUAUUCAAUUUUAAAAUUACAUUUAAACUAUUACCUACUUAAUUUAUUUGAAAUAGUGUCAUCAUAGUACAUUGUACUAUUUUAUAAAACUGAAUGUUCAUUCUCAAGAAUCCAGAAUUUUUAUUUUCCAAGUAAAUCACUAUUGUUAUUCUGCAAAAAUAUUAAUAUAUGUGUUUCUUAUCAAUUAUUACUUCAAAUGUUUAAAAUUUUGGGAUAAGAAACAGUGGUGACUGUUAAAAAAAAUGCCACCACAAGAUUAAAUGGAUCUUUUUUGUGUGUAUAUGUUUAUAUAUGUAAACUUUUCUGUAUUGUUUUAAAGAAAUUAACAUGAUGAUGUAUUAGAUUUUUUUUAAAAUUACAUUGUUGUGAAAUAAUUAUUUUAACUUGAAACAAUCGAAUUUUUAUUUUAUUCAUAAUUCUUUUAAUAAAUUGAUUUUAUCUUCUUUUUCAACCAUGAGAAAUUUUAAAUACACAUUUCUAAUUAUUGCAACUGAAUUGUGCAUUGUUUUCUUCUCUAUAAGGUAAUAAUGAUUUUUUUUUUUUUUCUCACCACUUGAAUAUUGUAAAUGAUUGCUAUUGGCAUUUUUAUAUUUAAAACUGCUGGUAAGGUUUAAACCAGGCAUAAAGGUUUUAAAAAUAUAUUUAAUUUGCAUUUUGUUUUUUAAAAACUUUGAUGUAGCUUCCCACAAAAUAAAUCAUUUAAAUUAAUUUUUAGAAUAGAGAAGUUAUGUAACUAUAUUGGAAUUUUAUUUUAAUAUUUUUAAAAAGUACAUUAGUAAAUAAAUGAAACUGCUUGUACUCUAUGUUAAUUAAUGAUCAUUGCUAUUUUCCAAAGAUUGUAGUUAAAGACAACUUGAUGUAUUUUUAUACUAGUAGGAAAUACAGAAUUGCAGAGUUUUUAUUUGAAAGAAUGGGGAAAUGAAAAAAUCCAUCCUCACUCUCUCUUUCUUUCUUUUAUUUUAUGAAUGCAUAUGUUUCAUUAUCUGCCAUAUUCUCCUCAGAAUUAAUCUUAAUAAAACAUAUUGGUAUGUAGAAGUUCAGAUUCAUAUACAUAAAUAAAUAAACUACUUUGUUAAUUAGUUCUGAAUACCUUUAAUGAGGACUGGGUUGUUUGUAAUAAAAUGUGUGUCAAGUUUUAAUAAAGAAAUUUGUUGCUAAAACGAUUUUUGAAAUCUUUGAAAUAAAUCAGAUCUAAAACACUUUAUUGCAACAUGAAUACUAAGAGGACUUUUAACUCUAUUUGUAAAUAUUUAUGUAUGAAUUUUUCUGCAUCUUGAUUCAAAGGUAGGAAAUUUUAACCAACCUUGAAUCAUUACACAUUUCUUGUAAUUUUUUUUAAUGAAUUUUCAGUUAUAUCUCUCAUUAUUCUACAUAUUAAGCCUUCCAUAGUUACAGAAGGCUGAUUUACAUUGAAUGUGUUUUGAUGAUUUGAUUUUGUGUGAAACUUGUAUAGAAAACUGCUUAUCAUAUUUUUCUCUGAUCUCUUGUUUUACUGAAAUUGCAGUACAGUGCCGCAAAUCAACAUUCUAAAAUCUAUAAAAGUCAAUGAUGUAGUAAGGAAAGAAAGUGAAUAUUUUCGUGUUGUAAUAUUUUUAGAAAAAUGUAUAUGCUUGAUAAUGAAGCAAGAAAAAAAUAAAUAAAAAAACAUUGUGACAA